ACAGUCAUAUCACGUUGAAAUACCGGUUCUCAUCCAAUCACCAAAGUUAAGCAACGUUAAGCUUGGUCAGUACCUAGACAGUUGACCGCAUGGGAAUACCAGGUGCUGUA